rnacentral:rRNA from 1 species
GACGAACGCUGGCGGCGUGCCUAAUACAUGCAAGUAGAACGCUGAAGAGAGGAGCUUGCUCUUCUUGGAUGAGUUGCGAACGGGUGAGUAACGCGUAGGUAACCUGCCUUGUAGCGGGGGAUAACUAUUGGAAACGAUAGCUAAUACCGCAUAACAAUGGAUGACACAUGUCAUUUAUUUGAAAGGGGCAAUUGCUCCACUACAAGAUGGACCUGCGUUGUAUUAACUAGUAGGUGAGGUAAUGGCUCACCUAGGCGACGAUACAUAGCCGACCUGAGAGGGUGAUCGGCCACACUGGGACUGAGACACGGCCCAGACUCCUACGGGAGGCAGCAGUAGGGAAUCUUCGGCAAUGGGGGCAACCCUGACCGAGCAACGCCGCGUGAGUGAAGAAGGUUGUCGGAUCGUAAAGCUCUGUUGUAAGUCAAGAACGGGUGUGAGAGUGGAAAGUUCACACUGUGACGGUAGCUUACCAGAAAGGGACGGCUAACUACGUG